rfam:Triticum aestivum genome assembly, contig: Triticum_aestivum_CS42_TGACv1_scaffold_406582_5BL
AAAGUACUCCCUCUGUCCCAAAAUUCUUGUCUUAAAUUUGUCUAGAUACUUCUGUUUCAAGUCACAUUUUAGUAUUAGAUACAUCCGUAUCUAGACAAAUCUAAGACAAGAAAUUUGGGACAGAGGGAGUAGUUG